ACUAUUACCUCCUUCUUUCUGAUACUAAACUUACAGAAAUGCAACCUACAAUUUUAGUAGCUCCUGUGGCAGUUAAGGUUCCCCUCUGACUUUCAUUGGGUUUAUAGUAAACAAUAAUUCCAGAUCCUUUUCAUGUGUACCACUGAUAAGCCAGGUUCUCCCACCCACCAGUAGGGCAGUUAACUUUUAUAAGCUAAGGACCAGAAUUUACAACCAAAUAGGGAUAAAUACAAAGAUUGACCUUUGGUCUAUGAGAAGAAAAUCAUCUGAAAAACAUUGAUCUAUUCCAUCCCUAGUUAACUCAUUUAGACCAUGUCAUAAUUUUGCCCAUUUUAACCACUCAUGAUCAGUGUUCCCCAAAUUUGGCUGAAUCAUUUGGGGAGUUAAAAAUAAUAAGGAUAACCAAAAAAAAACCUUCCUUUGUCCAGACCUAUUAGAAUAAAACUUUCUGGGGACGAGGACUGUGUGUUUUAAAAAGCUUUCUAACCCUCUUUAAAUUGAGUAGGAGGAUCUGCUCUGCACUCCCACAAUACUCUAGGCUAUCCUCUACCAAUAGACUGUAUCACAGCCCAGUAUAAUUUUAUAAUUUCAUGUAUAUAUAUAUGCAACAUCAUUAUAAGCUCCAAGAGAGUCAGUCCAUUUCUGUCUUACUCACCAUUAUAGGGCCAUCUUUAAGCAUUAUGCUUAAAAUAUAGAUGGUGCUAAAUAAUUAAUUGAUGAAUGAUUAAAGUGACAUUUAAAAUCAGUGAUGCUAUUUUUGGUAGUUAACAUAAACAAUAAAAUAACUAGAAGCAAUAAACAGUCAACUAAUAGGAGACGAAAGAGAGAUUUGGAAAUAUUCCCUAUGUAGGUAUGUCCCAGAAAAUUAUCAAAAAUAUCAUAUCCUGAAAAAGGCCAAGAGAGCCUGCCCUAAAAAACAAUAUCUCAGGUAGCACCUUUCAAUCCAAUCCAUCAGUGCACAUCUUAAUGGGCUACAUUUAUUUUUCUUAGAACUAACUAGUGAGUAAGCCAAACAGGCAAUUAUAGCAAUAGCCUAAAAUUCUCAAUUUUUUUACUAAAACUCAUCUAACAUAAAACCUGUUGUUUUUCCUACCUAUCUUCUCUUCAUAAGGUCAUAACUGUAAAUUAUUUGUUCAAAUUUACUUACAAGAAAAAAAUCACUCAACAAUUAGAUCUUCGAAAGUAUAAGGAAAAUUUAAUAGCUACUUUGAUUUUAUACAUAAGUAUGAAUUUUGUAAAUGUGAAUGGAAUUUUAACUGGACAUAACAAGAGUCUUAAAAAUUCUGUGAGAAGUGUAAUAUCUACAUGAAAAAGUUACGUUUAUGCAUUAAAUUCAAGUCCACUGAUACUUUGUCAAAAAUAAAGUAUACUAUUAAUUAUUUUCACAAAUGCCAACAGUCAAGAGAAAAUGCAUCGUUUUCUUAUCUAUUUUCUACGUUUUUAUUGUUUAAGACACUUUAUUGCUGUCCAUGUCCAGAAAUAUAAAUGAAAUCCAUCCAUCCAACCUGGCUUCAAUCUAUAGAAAUUAACUGAAAUCCAUCCUUUGAACACAUCUUCAAGUUUCAUUUCUUCACUGAAGCUAUAUUCCCCGUGAUGAGAUAUUCUUCUGUGAAUUCCCAGAGCAAUUUUAAGUAUCUUCUAGUUUACAAGAUAUAAGUAUGACAUACACAUUAGUCUUAUCUUCCCAACCAAAUGACAACUAUAAUCUAUCAAUCACUGAUUGCAUGCCACAUACUGCUCUAUAUGUUUAUAAACAUAAUUACUAAUUUCCAAACAAUUUUGCAAAAUAUUUUUCUCUUGCAGAUUAGAGAGAUCAAAUGAUAUGGUGGAGAUGACAGCUCAAGAGCAAAGCCAAGAUUUGGACCCAGAUCUACAAGACCAAAGACUUGGCUCCCUCCUUCUGUUCUACCAGGCUGAACUUGUAUUCUCUUACAUAUCCACAUACUCUGCUUUCCAAGUAUACAUGCAUGAGAUUUCUCUUUCCCAAGUACAACUCUUAAACAUGGCAUGAAGAACCAAAGGAAGUCCUCCACCACCCAAGGAAAGGUAUGAGACCUAACUAAGCUGGCUUCUUUCUCUCCCAUUACCCCCAGACACAGUUCUUGAUCCAAAGAACAAGUACUUAACCCAAGCAGGGCCAAAGUGCUUUUACAAAGGCACAUAUGCCACACAGGUUCUACUUCCUUCUAAAAUCAAGCAUCAUGAGGAAAAGUGUAGGCCUAGAAACCAUUCUUCACCACCAUGGCUGGGAAAAAAUCUGCCAGAGAACAAAGCCUACAAGAAGGAGAGAAGCCAAGAAAGAGAGGCAAAAUCCUGGUGUCAUCAAUGGAGCCCUUGGUUCCAGUUGUACCUAAAGCCAGAUCCCUCUCUUGAACUUCCCAGCAAUGCAAACCAUCCAGCUUCUAUUUUGCUUAUUUGGGUUUCUGUUCCUUUCAGUAGAAGUAAAUGUAGCCAUGAAGGUCACACAGCUAGUAAAGAACUAAUAAAGUACAAGUAAC
rnacentral:lncRNA from 1 species